UAAUAUUAAUUAAACUCACUCGUUUACUCUAUAUAUAUUCUAAAAUGUUUCAAAUGAAUGCAAAACAGUCAAAUAUAUAAUUUUAAAAAUUCUCAUCAUUUUCCAAUGACAAUGUGAUAUCAUAGAUAAGUUAUCACUUUUAGAAAUGAUUAAAAUAUUUAUAUAAUUUAAAACAUAAAAAAUAUAUGGUAAGUCAUUUAAAAUUAUAUUAAUCAUGAAAUGUUAUUUAAUUCAUCUAUUAAUACAAAAAGAUGAAUUAAAAUUAUUAUAUGGUAAGUCACUUAAAAUUAUACUAGGUGUUUGCCUGCAAUUUUGCGGGUAAUUAUAUUAUAUAAAAAAAUAUAUAUUAUGUUUACAUUGUCAUAUUUUUUGAAUAAUAAUUAAAAUUAAAAUUUUAGUUUCAAAUUGUUGGAUAAUCAAAAAAAAUUCAGUAUAUAUUUUUAGAAGAUCUGUGAGAUUUAAAAUAGUUUAACAACGUAAACCUUAUUCAUUACAAAGAUUUCUCUUACAGAAAAGCAAUAUUAUAAUUAAUUUAAUUGGUUUUAGAAUUACUUUAUAUUUUUUUUCGGUUAAUAAAACACAACGGUUUGAUGGAUGGACACAUGUCGCUCUACUUUCACUAUUUGACGAAGUAAAUAAAUUAAAUCUAUAUAUAUCUAUAUAAAUAUGUUUGUUUCUCUCCUAUGUUGCCACCUAGGAUGCCACGUCAGAAAGUCAUGCGUUAUGGAGCUGACACGUGUUCAGAUAAGUAAAACUUUGCGUUUCAUUUAAUCGAGUUAUGUUUCGUUUGUUCACAUGUUAAUGGGCUUCUAAACAUUUAAUUGGCCCAACGGAGAGAGGUUGUCUUCCCCGAUGGCGUGAUCAAAAAUUAAGGCUCGUGUCCUCUUCGAUUUACACCAGCUUUGGAGGAGAUAUGAUGAAUUGAGUGAAUCAAAUCGGCGGGUGUUAAAAAAAAAAAGUGAAUCAAAUCGACGUGAAAAACCUUUGUGCCAAGCUUUAAUUGCGUCUUUUCGUUUUCUGUUGUAAUCUUCCAAAGCGUUACGUAACAACCUUCAUAAAUGGUUCCAUGAUUUCUCAUUCAUUGUAUCUCGCUUUAUCCUUUUUUCCUAACAAUGAAUCUCCACCUAUAAAAAGGUAAAGAUUCAUCUCUUGAAAAUCAUCCUCACAAAUCCAAUAGCAUUCGAUAUUUUCUCAUUAUAAUAGUUAACUCCUCUGUUCGACUUGCUGAUCUGAAUUAUGGGUUGUUCUUCCACCUUAGAGGUUAGGUUGCUCAGUUUCUGGGAAAUUGACGUGUUUUUUAUUGAUUCUAAGAUAUUUUGUUUUUAAAGCAUAUCUUGGUAUUGAAAUAAUUUGUCUUUACGAAGAAGGUUGUAUAAUCUCAAAAAAAAAUUGAAAAAUUGUAUCCUAAUGAGGGACUCUUUGAUAACAACAAAGUGUCUUUACGAAGUCAAAAAUAGAAGGACAUACAUAUCCCUCAGUUAUAUCAUCGAUAUAGUAAAUGUGCUGAAGGAACCAUGACAGAGGAAGAUGUUGUCUUGAGAGAAAGUUCAAACAAAAAAUAUGAAUGAUAUAUCUUAUGUGGAAGGGGAAAAUAAAUACUAUGGAACUAAAGUAACUAUAAAUGUGUGGGAGCCAAAGAUACAGCAGCAGUACGAGUUCACCUUCUCGCAGAUAUGACUUCUCAGUGACUUAUUCAGAAAGUAUUUUAACAACAUAGAAGCUGGUUGGCAGAUUAGCCGGAUUUAUAUGGUGACAAACUGACAACAAUACAAAAGCUCUUUACUUACUAGACUGUAUGUUCUUUAGAAAAAAAAAUUAUGUUAAUGUUUUUAAAAUUUUGAAGCUUCUUAAAAUAAAUAUAGUAUUAUAUGUAUAAACUUUAUAUUUUUACUAUGUCAAAUUGAAAUAGAAAUAAUAAGAAUAUUUCUAUUAUUACAUUUUCUUAAUUAUUUUUGUUAAUAUUGUAUUAUUUAACGAUAGAGAAUAAUGAAAGUUGUUAUUUUAAUUCAAAUCAAAAAUAUUUAUUAACAAUAACAAUAUGAUCUCAGAAUUAUUUCCAUUAUUUUUUGUUUAUAAUAUUAUUUUCAAUACAUAAAAAUUUUAAAUGUUUCAUAAAUUAAUAUAAAUUCAUGUAAAAUAAUUUUUAUAAUAACUUCCCGCCCUACGGGCGGACCGAUGCUAGUUUUAUAUGUAAAGAAGAUAGAUAGCCUCAGACACGCUGGCCAAAAAAAUAGCUUCAGACACUUUAUGGGACUAUAUGGUUAUAUGGUCAUCCGCGUUCUAUCUAAGAACAUUUCUAUUGUGGUUAUUUUUGAAGUUGGAGCUUAUUCUUGUUCAAAUAAAUCUUUAUAUGGAUUAAUCUUAUCCUUACUUUUAUGCGGUAAAAACGGUAAAAGGUCAAAACAAUUACAACUUUUUAAUAAUGCUAGGUGAUUUUUUAAUCAAUCUAAACUCAAAUGUUAUUUUUUUGUCCACGGCUCAAAAUGAUCUAUUCUCCUAAUUACACACUUCUCCAUUUGACAUUCUCUUAAGUCACCCUAAAAUCAACACAACUAACAAAACAUGUUGAUCUGGCAAAUAUAAAACAGACGUAAAUAAAAUAAUAUAUAAAUAAUGAUAUUAUCAUCACAUAAUUUUGCAUUACACAUUUUUCUAAUAUAUGAUUCUAUUUUCAAAACAAGAAAGAAAGAAAGAAUUCUGGUCAGAUUUCAAAAAAUAAUGUUCCUUUUCUAAUAUAUGAUUCUAUUUUCAAAACAAGAAAGAAAGAAUUCUGGUUAUAUUUCAAAAAUAUUGCUCCUUUUCUAGGAAUUUAUUUCCAAAGAGUAGUAUAUGGCAUAAAAAGAAGAAUAGACCAGGUUGAUAAAAAAAGAAGAAGAAUAGAUCAAAACGAACGCAGUUCAAACAAAAAUAAAGAAAUCUCUACUCAGUUCAAACUAAAAUGGUAUAUGUAUUUUAUAGGGGUGAAUAAUUCCAUAUAUAAUCUUUCCUCCAUCGUAUAUAUAUAAACCCACAAAAGUCAAACCAAACAAACAACAAACAUCUGUCUUACUUUCUUACUACUCUUGAGUUCUAAACCUGUUUGAACAAAAAAAAAGUUCUAUCAGAAAUGGCUCAAAAAAUGUGUAUGGUGAUGAUGAUGGUGAUGGUAUUGGUAACAGUAGAAUGUGCUACUAUUAAUCAAGCAACAAAAGACUACGGAUCAUGCAUCACCGAUUGCGUUGAAAAGUGCGGCACAGAUGAGCGUUGCCAAUAUCAUUGCAGAUAGAUUUGCCCCAAACCUCACUCACCACAGGUUAUCCUAAAGUACGUACUGCGUAUUUCAUCUCUUUAAAAUAUUUUGUUUUUGUUUGAUUACUGUAUUGAAUAUUGAUGUAUUUAUGCGAUCUUAAUACAAAGGGACGAAGCAAUAUUGCCACAAGCAGGUGACAACGCUACCUGCGUAAAAUAUUGCCGCAUCAGAUGUGGCGAGGACGAAUUUUGCAUGAAAACCUGUUUGGAGAAUUGCCCCUUCUAGGACUACUCUCUUUUAAGUAUCAUACAAAACACUCAAAUUUUUUGUGAUGAUCCAUGAGGAUUUUCAUACGGAAAUUUGUGUUCAUAUGGAUGUAUUAGGAGUGUUUUCACUUUGUUCCAGAAAUAAAUUAUUGAAUACUAGUAAAAAAAUUGGGAUAUGAAUGGUGACCAAUGAAUGAAGAGGAACAAUACAAUU